GAUGAACGCUAGCUACAUGCUUAACACAUGCAAGUCGAGGGACAACAUGGGCUUAUCUUUCUUAUGCCGAUGGCGACCGGCGCACGGGUGAGUAACACGUAUCCAACCUGCCGUCUACUCUUGGACAGCCUUCUGAAAGGAUGAUUAAUACAAGAUUGCAUCAUGAGUCCGCAUGUUCACAUAAUUAAAGCUAUUCCGGUAUACGAUGGGGAUGCGUUCCAUUAGAUAGUAGGCGGGGUAACGGCCCACCUAAUCUUCGAUGUAUAGGGGUGCUGAGAGGAAGGCGCACUACAUCUGAAACGCGAUACGGUCUAAGCUCCUACGCGAGGCAGGAGUGAGGAAUAUUGGUCACUGGGGGCAGGCCUGACAAAGCCACGUAGGGUGAAGAAGGACUGCGAUCUGGGUUGUAAACUUCUUUUAAAAAGGAAUAAAGUCGGGUACGUAUCCCCGUUUGACUGUACUUUAUGAAUAAGGAACGGCUAACUCCGUG
rnacentral:rRNA from 1 species